UACGGAGGGUGCGAGCGUUGCUCGGAAUCACUGGGCGUAAAGCGUACGCAGGCUGUUUCGUAAGUCGGGUGUGAAAGCCCGGGGCUCAACCCCGGAAUUGUGCCCGAGACUGCGGAGCUUGAAUGCGGGAGAGGGAAGCGGAAUUCCUGGUGUAGAGGUGAAAUUCGUAGAUAUCAGGAGGAACACCGGUGGCGAAAGCGGCUUCCUGGCCCGACAUUGACGCUCAUGUACGAGAGCGUGGGGAGCAAACAGG
rnacentral:rRNA from 1 species